GGGCAGCCAGCCAGAACAGAAGAAAUCGGAGCGAUUGUGUUGUCAAAGGGACAGACACGAGAGCACAUUCAUACCCGGAGAGGUUAGGAGGGAGAAGGGCUGUUCUGAGGACAGAGCCACACAUCCAGCCAAUCAGAGGGCUGCAGAGUACAGCCCAUGCUAUGGAAGAGUCCCCAUUACACCAGCUUCCACUUCCCUGGGCCAGUGGAUGGGAGCAGAAGUCAGUGGUGAACCAUCUUCUGGGGAGCUAUCAAGAGCAAACCCAUCUCUUUCACACGCCCCAACCCUGUUUUUUUUAGAACAUUCCAGAUCUGGCAACGCAGGAGCCUCCAUGCCACGUUUGCCUGCAAUCUGCUGUUGCUGGCCAAUCGGUGUUUUUCCUUGGAGUGACUCCAUCAGCACUCACACCCAGCGUGUGGUGCGGUCUGCUCACUCUGGUUCACACCAGGAUCGUGGCGCCGUUAUUAAUGGUUUAUCAUCAUAGAAACGGAGGAACUUCAGUGGUCAAAAUACCAGAUGAUGACUUUCAAAGCUGUAGACCUUGAGGGCGGAGCCCUUACCCUCCCCUCCCUCGGAUUGCCUCUGAGCUAUCACAUGCAUGUUUGAACACACAUUAACAUUUGAGCUUACCUGGUGACUCAGUGGCCUCGGUCAUGGCACCAUCCGUGUGUUUGGGCUUUCUGAUUCUGAGUUCUUCUAUUCCUUGAGGGGAUGAAGAGGUCAUUUAAUUCCCUUGGUCCUAUGAUGUAGGAAGUCCUUCUGUAUAUUUUAUUGUUUUGUUGGUUAUUGAAUAAAGAAUCUGCAUUGGCCUGUGGUA